AGCGAACGCUGGCGGCAGGCUUAACACAUGCAAGUCGAGCGGGCGUAGCAAUACGUCAGCGGCAGACGGGUGAGUAACGCGUGGGAACGUACCUUUUGGUUCGGAACAACCCAGGGAAACUUGGGCUAAUACCGGAUAAGCCCUUACGGGGAAAGAUUUAUCGCCGAAAGAUCGGCCCGCGUCUGAUUAGCUAGUUGGUGAGGUAAUGGCUCACCAAGGCGACGAUCAGUAGCUGGUCUGAGAGGAUGAUCAGCCACAUUGGGACUGAGACACGGCCCAAACUCCUACGGGAGGCAGCAGUGGGGAAUAUUGGACAAUGGGCGCAAGCCUGAUCCAGCCAUGCCGCGUGAGUGAUGAAGGCCCUAGGGUUGUAAAGCUCUUUUGUGCGGGAAGAUAAUGACGGUACCGCAAGAAUAAGCCCCGGCUAACUUCGUGCCAGCCGCCGCCGUAAUAC
rnacentral:rRNA from 1 species